rnacentral:rRNA from 1 species
GCCAAGUCGUGAGGCGGAGCUAAUCCCUUAAAGCCAUUCUCAGUUCGGAUUGUAGGCUGAAACUCGCCUGCAUGAAGCUGGAGUUACUAGUAAUCGCAGAUCAGAAUGCUGCGGUGAAUGCGUUCCCGGGUCUUGUACACACCGCCCGUCACACCACGGAAGUUGGGGGCGCCCGAAGCCACUUAGCUAACCCUUUUGGGAAGCGAGUGUCGAAGGUGAAAUCAAUAACUGGGGUGAAGUCGUAACAAGGUAAC